UAGGGAAUCUUCGGCAAUGGACGAAAGUCUGACCGAGCAACGCCGCGUGAGUGAAGAAGGUUUUCGGAUCGUAAAACUCUGUUGUUAGAGAAGAACAAGGACGUUAGUAACUGAACGUCCCCUGACGGUAUCUAACCAGAAAGCCACGGCUAACUACGUGCCAGCAGCCGCGGUAAUACGUAGGUGGCAAGCGUUGUCCGGAUUUAUUGGGCGUAAAGCGAGCGCAGGCGGUUUCUUAAGUCUGAUGUGAAAGCCCCCGGCUCAACCGGGGAGGGUCAUUGGAAACUGGGAGACUUGAGUGCAGAAGAGGAGAGUGGAAUUCCAUGUGUAGCGGUGAGAUGCGUAGAUAUAUGGAGGAACACCAGUGGCAAAGGCGGCUCUCUGGUCUGUAACAGACGCUGAGGCUCGAAGGCGUGGGGAGCAAACAGG
rnacentral:rRNA from 1 species